GGUACCCCAUAUCCACCUAGAGGAGCCUGUCCUACAAUCGAUACCCCCCGUUAAACCUCACCACUUUUAGCCCAUUCAGCCUGUAUACCUCCGUCGUCAGCUUACCACGUGAGCGCAACUUAGUGAGCCUAAUGCCCAUACGCCAAUACGUCAGGUCAAGGUGCAGCAAAAUAAAGUGGGAAGAGAUGGGCUACACUCUCUAAUAUAGAAAACACGGAAAACUAUUUAUGAAACCUAGUCUAAAGGCGGUUUAGAGUAAAAGAAAA
rnacentral:rRNA from 1 species